rnacentral:lncRNA from 1 species
GCAUGGGGUGGUGGGUGCAGGGCAGAUGCAGGCCCGGCCGCCCCAGCCUUGUCCCCCUACUGUCUCUGUAGUGGGUCACACUGUGGGUCACCCUCCUCCAAGGGCCCCACGUCUCGGGCAGACAGAGCAGGGGGUGAGGGGCCCCGGGGGCCGAGCCAGCUCUGACCUCCUCUGAGCACCUGCCUGCAGCCAGCCCCUCUGCCUGCCAACCACCGGCCCUCAGCAGUCCCUAUAUCCUCAAAUCCGCCCCAUCCCCCACUUGGCUAUACUGGAAGUGGGCACGCUUCUGUUACCCAAAUCCCAUCCUUCCAGCCUGAUAGGAAGGAACGCCCUGGCAGUGCUGUCUGGUCCUAGCCACAGUGACCCAGAGGCCAGGUGUCGGGGGCUGGGGCCGGUGAGGGCUCUGAGGGGCCGCCCAGUGCUCAGGAGCCAGGGCUCUGCUGCUACUGGGGCCUGAGUGGGGCUGCAGCCCCAGCCUUGGCACCUGGAACAAGGGACAGCCACACAUGUGCCUGUCUGAGUCUGGGGCAGGGCUUAUGCAGGCCGGGCCCGGCCCUUGGCGGGUGUUCAGGGCCUGAUACUACCACCCUUAGGAGUGGGGCAGGCACCGGGCAGGUUUGUGAGAACUGCACCCACAUUUCCGCCACAGCUGGAAGAGGACGUGCCAACCGGAGUCCCACCAGGGGCGGGGGAUGGAAUUCUGCAUCCCUGGCCCCUCCCAGAUGGAGCCCUGGACACUGCGGAGGCUGAGCCUCAGUAUUCCCCAUGCCCCAGAGCUGUGCUGUCCCCCAGGCUGGGAGCUGGGGCAGAAGUCAACUCCAGCCUACAUGGGCCCAGCAGCUACCUCCAGAUGCCCCAAAACAGGUGCAAAGGGAUACCCAGCUGCUCAUGAAAAUGAAUCCCAGAUGGAGACAAAGAGCCCUGCCUGGCCCUGGCCUGGCGUGGCCGGAUGUCCCUUUCCACCUUCCUGCUCACAGAGGAGGCUGGGCUUCUGAGGCCUGAGGGGCCAGGCAGGAAGCCAUGGGCCACAAGGCACCCCUGGGCCCCCGCUCCCCGACUUCCUGCAUGGUAGAAGGCCCGUCCCGGGGCCAACUGCCUCUGCCACCACUGCCUGGAUGAGUGAGGGCAGGAGGUGGAAGGGUGAGGUGGGGCCCUGACCCUCGGGAAGAGGGGUCCUGGACUCAGUUUCCCUCCCUGUCCUGAGGCUGCUGCCUUCUAGCCAGAUCCUGGUUUCCAGGGGCCCUGUCCUGCCCAGCAGUUCCCACAGUGCUGGCUGGUUCUCAAAGGGAGACCCCAGGAGACCCCCCCCCAGGAGACACCUGGGCAGGGCAGGGGCAGCUCUGGGGGGGGGCAGCCAUAUGGUGACCCCUCCACUGCCCACAGCCACACAGCCCCUCCCCGUAACCUUCUCUGCAUUUGCUAAUGUUUUGUGACAUGAAGCCCUGAGAUUAAUUUUUUGCCUGUCUUAAUUGAAGGAACCAUUUAGUGCCGAUUUAACUAUUAUUACCAAAUCAUCAGGAUUGAUGCAGUGCGCACACGCACGCGCCAAUCGUGUUUGGAGGAGCUCGGAGGAUUUAUGCAAAUGGGCCUGCCGGGAGAGGCAAUUUGUAGCCGAGAAGGACAAUUAUACCAGGCCCGGGAGUGCGCCAACGACUGCGCCGGGCGGGUAAUGGAUAAUAACAUCGCGCCGGCAGCCGUGAGCAGCUCCACAGCGUGACCAACGACUUUAUACAGUGCAGAUAAAGAGGCCUGCACGCAACACCGCCUCACACUCCAGGGGGGCCGGGCGGGGACGAUGCCACAGCCAGGUGUGCAGAGCCGGCGUGGCUGGGCCUGGGGGCCGUGACUUCCAGAGGGGGACCCGGGCCAGGGUGGUGCUGGGAGCUGCCAGAAGGGCAAAGCCUGUCUGGAGCAGGGCUCUGUCUGCUGGUCACUCUCGAUGGUCUAGGAAGGGCAGGGCCAGGCCUUCAGAGUAGGUGUGAAGGGGCACCAGCAGCCUGGAAGCCUCAGGGGAGCCUGGACCCUGCUCCCCAGCCUCGAGGGCCCAGGGCCGGCCACACGCGCCCUGCCAUGCCAGUGCCCAGG